rnacentral:ncRNA from 2 species
ACCCCGGUUCGAAUCCGGGUAGGACCU